UAGCUGCCUAGAAGUCAGUAUUCUCUUAGCAGUCUUCAGAGGAAGAUGUAGAACUCUCAGCUCUUCCUGCACCAUGCCUGCCUGGAUGCUGCCAUGUUCCUGCCUUCAUGAUAAUGGACUGAACCUCUGAACCGGUCUUCUGUCUGGUGGCACAGCCCGCUGCCCCAUAGCUCACUGCAAGCUCAUGACUUGGAAGGAAAGAACCAACUCCAGGACAUUGUGGGGUGACCUCCACGUGCGCAGUGACACUUGUAUGCCCAUACACAUUCAUACAUGCCCGCAGAACAAAGAAAGGCAAAGGAAUCAGCGGGGGCAGCAGCACAGGGGCAAAUGAACUUAGAGGCAAGACAGCAGAAGGUGGGAUGGUCUUCCCUCCAUUUUUUAUCUGGACGCUCCGUGAAGAAGCUCUCCCCACAAUGCAUCAUCAGGGAAUGAGAGUCACUGCAGAUCCCAGAUCCUUGCAGUGGACCUGUGUCCUGGUUGUUACAGCGGUUGCCUAGUGACUGACAAUGAUCACUCAGGACAAAGUUCCAUGGGGAGCUGUGGAGGUGGAGAUUCCUUAUUUACAGCAAAACUGACAAAAAUAACUUCCUAAAAAUGUUCACCAAACUCACGUUGCACAGCAGAGCAGGCUUUGGCCAGUGCUUCUUGGCUUUGAGGGACCAGCUUGCAUUUCACGAAUUGCCCUCUGCCUGGAUAUUCCAGGGAGCAUGCGUAGGGGCUGGGACUGUCUCCUUGGGAAGAUUCACAAAGGAACAAGCUUUUCAAAGGCUCCAGAGCUCGUAAAGAGAUACUCAGGAUCAUUAGCCAUUAGGGAGACGCAAGUAAAAAACCUAGUGAGGCACCACUGCACAUAAAUAUGACUAUCACUGAAAAAAAUGGACGAUGAUAAUAAGACAAAAUGUUGAGGAAUUGUUCUCUUUAUUGGAAGGUGACAAAGUGCAGUUGCCUUGCAUAGAAAUCCAACGAUCUGGGAUCAUAGAAAUCAAAGAUCUGGACUGUAGAGUUAUUCCAUGACCCUGCCCUUCCCCUCCCAAGCAUCGAAUGAUCCAAGGCAACUGAAAAUACACACACUACUGGAAUUUGUUGACGCCUGACAAUGGCAGCAUUCUUCACAAAACGGAAGCGACCGAAUGUCCCUUAAACAUGCCUGCGACAGCACAGCUGAUCCUCAAAGGUACACGGUGAAAGAAACCCAGAACAUACGGCCUCAUGUGCCCGAUUCCACCACUGCUGGGCACGUUCCUUUACAUAUCAUCUGUGUAUGGCUUCACUUUUCUAUGUACUGUCCUUUGGGUGGAUUUAUAGACAUUUUGGAGAUGGAAAAUGUUUUGUUUCAUUGACUGCCCACCCCUCACCAUCUGCCGGCCCAUGAGACAGCACACACCUCAGAUAGCCCAUGAACACCCAGUUGAGAUUUUGUACCUCAAAUGAG